rnacentral:rRNA from 1 species
UACGUAGGGGGCUAGCGUUGUCCGGAAUCAUUGGGCGUAAAGCGCGUGUAGGCGGCCCGGUAAGUCCGCUGUGAAAGUCGGGGGCUCAACCCUCGAAUGCCGGUGGAUACUGUCGGGCUAGAGUACGGAAGAGGCGAGUGGAAUUCCCGGUGUAGCGGUGAAAUGCGCAGAUAUCGGGAGGAACACCAAUUGCGAAGGCAGCUCGCUGGGACGUAACUGACGCUGAGACGCGAAAGCGUGGGGAGCAAACAGG